rnacentral:misc_RNA from 1 species
CUGGAGGAAGUGCCACCGGCAGGGCUU